AUUCCCUAAGUGAGCCUGUGAAUUAUGGAAAUCCACGUAUCAGUGGACAUGAUGAAGCACCUGCUAUACGCAGUGCACCCGGCCAGAUUCAUUCAUUCGACGGUUCCUAUCGAGCACCCUCUAUGUGCUGGAGAUACGGUGACUCACCAGAUGGUCGCCCUCCCUUGUCAUCAGUGCUGGCCUUGAAGAUGACAGAUGGAAAUGCUGGCCUAGGCUGCCCUCUUGUAGGUCACGGCCGGUGCUUACUAUGUGACCAGUGCUGUUCUAAAUACCGUAUGUACGUGUAUUAACUCACUGCAUGCUCACAGAGAUCCCUACAUGGAGUAGGUGCAGUUAUUAUCUGUACUUACAGAGAAGAAAACAGAAGCACAGAAGAGAGCAUUAUUUGUCCAAGUCACAUAGCUGGUGAUUGGAACCAGAUAGCCUGGCUUUAGAGUCUGUGUCCUUCACUGCCACUACCAACCAAUGUGAAAGGAAAAUAAUCAACUUAGGACACAAAG
rnacentral:lncRNA from 10 species